GACCCGAAACCCGGUGAUCUAGCCAUGGGCAGGUUGAAGGUUGGGUAACACUAACUGGAGGACCGAACCGACUAAUGUUGAAAAAUUAGCGGAUGACUUGUGGCUGGGGGUGAAAGGCCAAUCAAACCGGGAGAUAGCUGGUUCUCCCCGAAAGCUAUUUAGGUAGCGCCUCGUGAAUUCAUCUCCGGGGGUAGAGCACUGUUUCGGCAAGGGGGUCAUCCCGACUUACCAACCCGAUGCAAACUGCGAAUACCGGAGAAUGUUAUCACGGGAGACACACGGCGGGUGCUAACGUCCGUCGUGAAGAGGGAAACAACCCAGACCGCCAGCUAAGGUCCCAAAGUCAUGGUUAAGUGGGAAACGAUGUGGGAAGGCCCAGACAGCCAGGAUGUUGGCUUAGAAGCAGCCAUCAUUUAAAGAAAGCGUAAUAGCUCACUGGUCGAGUCGGCCUGCGCG
rnacentral:rRNA from 1 species